AUUGAACGCUGGCGGCAGGCUUAACACAUGCAAGUCGAACGAGUGGCGGACGGGUGAGUAAUGUCUGGGAAACUGCCCGAUGGAGGGGGAUAACUACUGGAAACGGUCGCUAAUACCGCAUACCAUCGGAUGUGCCCCGAUGGGAUUAGCUAGUAGGUGGGGUAACGGUUAACCUAGGCGACGAUCCCUAGCUGGUCUGAGAGGAUGAGCAGCCAGCCUGGAACGGAGACACAGCGCAGACUCCUAAGGGAGGCAGCGGUGGAGAAGAUUGAACAAGGGGCGCGUGUCGGAUGCAGCCAUGCCGCGUGUAUGAAGAAGUCCUUCGGGUUGGAAAGUACUGUCAGCGGGGAGGCGUUACUAGCAGAAGAAGCACCGGCUAACUCCGUGCCAGCAGCCGCGGUAAUUC
rnacentral:rRNA from 1 species